ensembl:misc_RNA Metazoa_SRP Metazoan signal recognition particle RNA
GCUGGGUGUGGUGGCGUGCACCUGUAAUCCCAGCUACUCGGGAGGCUGAGGCAGGAGAAUCGCUUGAACCCAGGAGGUGGAGGUUGUGGUGAGCCGAGAUUGCACACUGCACUCCAGCCUGGGCAACAGAGCGAGACUCUGUCUCAA